CACACACACACACACACACACACAAAAAAGUGGCGUUUCCCUUUAAGUAGCCUCCACAACCCACACAUACACAGACGGUACGGAUACACACUC